UGUUUGGCUAAAUGGUAUUCAUUUUAUAGCCUUUAUUUGCCCAAUGUUUGGUGACUUACAUUGAGGCAUGUGUUUAUUUAAGAUGCAUGUGAGUGUAGUAGUGCUUCAGUGAUGGUCUUUUCAUGUUCUGUGUGUUUUGCAAUGUAUUAAUUAAUGUAAGCCUCUUUCUGUUCCCUCUGUUAGUAGGUGGUGUGAGGACUGCUGCCCUGAGAACGCUGUGUCAGACACUUAGGCUGUGUGCAUUUUGGAAUGUUCCAAAUGUGUGUCACUUCCAUAAGGAAGAAGUUCCAAGCCUGCAAGGCGAAGUCGGUCUACCCUGAUGGCACUACCUGAUGGCACUACCCUGAUGAUGUCUGUUAGCCAUGGCUGCUGCCCUCAACAUGGUGAGCCAUCCAGAAGUCCCAGCCUGGAGCCAGAGGCUGCUAUUGCAAGUCAGAUGGGAGACGGCCUACAGUAUGUUAGGCAUCAGAAAAGUGGUGUACGCAUGAAGGCAGAGUUGCCGCAGGCAAUUAUGAGAUUAGACACUUGACAUUUACUGCGAAAGGUACCAUCAGAGCACCUCUCCCUACCCUGCAGGAUACCUAUACCAGAAGAGUACAACAACGGCCCAAAAGUAUUUCAAAAGACAUUUCACGCUCUGACCACGGACUGUUUAAACCACUGAGGUCAAGCAGACGUCUCUGUUCCCACGUGGCAGACUGAGGGAACACCCACAAAACAGACUGGGGAUGAGUUUCUUUACUCCGCAUCCUGUACACACACAACUCCUUAUACUACAUUACAUAGACUUGCCAGUUGCCAUACUGCACUUACACACACUGCGCUUUUAACCCCCUUAUCUGUGUCAAAUCAGAUAAGGUUGUGGUUGAAUUCAAACCAUGUCUACGG